UACGUAGGGGGCGAGCGUUGUCCGGAUUCAUUGGGCGUAAAGCGCGCGUAGGCGGCUUCGUAAGUCGGCCGUGAAAUCUCCAGGCUUAACUUGGAGGGGUCGGGCGAGACUGCGGAGCUCGAGGUGGGCAGAGGGCAGUGGAAUUCCGGGUGUAGUGGUGGAAUGCGUAGAGAUCCGGAGGAACACCAGUGGCGAAGGCGUUCUGCUGGGCCGUUGCUGACACUGAGGCGCGACAGCGUGGGGAGCAAACAGG
rnacentral:rRNA from 1 species